rnacentral:rRNA from 1 species
GAGUGGCGAACUGGUGAGUAACACGUGGGAAACCUGCCCAGAAGCGGGGGAUAACACCUGGAAACAGAUGCUAAUACCGCAUAACAACUUGGACCGCAUGGUCCGAGNUUGAAAGAUGGCUUCGGCUAUCACUUUUGGAUGGUCCCGCGGCGUAUUAGCUAGAUGGUGGGGUAACGGCUCACCAUGGCAAUGAUACGUAGCCGACCUGAGAGGGUAAUCGGCCACAUUGGGACUGAGACACGGCCCAAACUCCUACGGGAGGCAGCAGUAGGGAAUCUUCCACAAUGGACGAAAGUCUGAUGGAGCAACGCCGCGUGAGUGAAGAAGGGUUUCGGCUCGUAAAACUCUGUUGUUAAAGAAGAACAUAUCUGAGAGUAACUGUUCAGGUAUUGACGGUAUUUAACCAGAAAGCCACGGCUAACUACGUGCCAGCAGCCGCGGUAAUACGUAGGUGGCAAGCGUUGUCCGGAUUUAUUGGGCGUAAAGCGAGCGCAGGCGGUUUUUUAAGUCUGAUGUGAAAGCCUUCGGCUCAACCGAAGAAGUGCAUCGGAAACUGGGAAACUUGAGUGCAGAAGAGGACAGUGGAACUCCAUGUGUAGCGGUGAAAUGCGUAGAUAUAUGGAAGAACACCAGUGGCGAAGGCGGCUGUCUGGUCUGUAACUGACGCUGAGGCUCGAAAGUAUGGGUAGCAAACAGGAUUAGAUACCCUGGUAGUCCAUACCGUAAACGAUGAAUGCUAAGUGUUGGAGGGUUUCCGCCCUUCAGUGCUGCAGCUAACGCAUUAAGCAUUCCGCCUGGGGAGUACGGCCGCAAGGCUGAAACUCAAAGGAAUUGACGGGGGCCCGCACAAGCGGUGGAGCAUGUGGUUUAAUUCGAAGCUACGCGAAGAACCUUACCAGGUCUUGACAUACUAUGCAAAUCUAAGAGAUUAGACGUUCCCUUCGGGGACAUGGAUACAGGUGGUGCAUGGUUGUCGUCAGCUCGUGUCGUGAGAUGUUGGGUUAAGUCCCGCAACGAGCGCAACCCUUAUUAUCAGUUGCCAGCAUUAAGUUGGGCACUCUGGUGAGACUGCCGGUGACAAACCGGAGGAAGGUGGGGAUGACGUCAAAUCAUCAUGCCCCUUAUGACCUGGGCUACACACGUGCUACAAUGGAUGGUACAACGAGUUGCGAACUCGCGAGAGUAAGCUAAUCUCUUAAAGCCAUUCUCAGUUCGGAUUGUAGGCUGCAACUCGCCUACAUGAAGUCGGAAUCGCUAGUAAUCGCGGAUCAGCAUGCCGCGGUGAAUACGUUCCCGGGCCUUGUACACACCGCCCGUCACACCAUGAGAGUUUGUAACACCCAAAGUCGGUGGGGUAACCUUUUAGGAACCAGCCGC